rnacentral:sRNA from 1 species
GGGAGGGACAGUGGUGCCCGUGUUCUGACUGACUGACUCUGGGAGGGACAGUGGUGCCCGUGUUCUGACUGACUGACUCUGGGAGGGACAGUGGUGCCCGUGUUCUGACUGACUGACUCUGGGAGGGACGGUGGUGCCUGUGUUCUGACUGACUGACUCUGGGACAGACUGACUCUGGGGGGGACAGUGGUGCCCAUGUUCUGACUGACUGGGAGGGACGGUGGUACCUGUGUUCUGACUGACUGACUGACUCUCCGGUUUUGUUUCUGUUUAGAUGAGUUCUGGUUCUCCGAUGGGUCCUUAUCAGAUAAGUCCAAGUGCGCAGAUCCUGGCCUGAUGCCCCUCCCAGACACAGCCACAGGGUUAGAUUGGACCCACCUCGUGGACGCUGCACGGGCAUUUGAAGACCAGAGGGUGGCAUCCUUCUGCACCCUGACAGAUAUGC